GAUGAACGCUGGCGGCGUGCCUAAUACAUGCAAGUCGAGCGAACGGACGAGAAGCUUGCUUCUCUGAUGUUAGCGGCGGACGGGUGAGUAACACGUGGAUAACCUACCUAUAAGACUGGGAUAACUUCGGGAAACCGUAGCUAAUACCGGAUAAUAUUUUGAACCGCAUGGUUCAAAAGUGAAAGACGGUCUUGCUGUCACUUAUAGAUGGAUCCGCGCUGCAUUAGCUAGUUGGUAAGGUAACGGCUUACCAAGGCAACGAUGCAUAGCCGACCUGAGAGGGUGAUCGGCCACACUGGAACUGAGACACGGUCCAGACUCCUACGGGAGGCAGCAGUAGGGAAUCUUCCGCAAUGGGCGAAAGCCUGACGGAGCAACGCUGCGUGAGUGAUGAAGGUCUUCGGAUCGUAAAACUCUGUUAUUAGGGAAGAACAUAUGUGUAAGUAACUGUGCACAUCUUGACGGUACCUAAUCAGAAAGCCACGGCUAACUACGUG
rnacentral:rRNA from 1 species